GAUUCGAACCGUCGACCUUCCGAUUGGCAAGCCCAAGGCUCAGUGGUUUGCACCACAGCGCCACCCGCGUCCCUUUAGCGCCACCUGUCAUAUUAAGUUAUGCCAAUUUUUUUACUCGUGCCCUGAUCUACAGUAAUUUCCAGAAAAGUUCAGAUUGGCACACUCCUACGUGCAAAGUCUAGGGCGGUCCCCACAGCUCUUGGCAUGUUGACAUCCAUCUGUCUCAGGAGACAGCACCUGCUGUGGCUAUAGAGACUGAUACAGGAGAGACAUGUUUUGUUGCAGCUGGGGCAGAUGAACGGCUGUACUGCUUCAGAUGCACCAUGGAGUUUCUUCUAUCUGUGCUCCUCCCAGCAGUCAUUCCCCUUCUGGUCACCGCUGUGGAUACACAACCUGACUGUCAGUGCUGCCUGUGUUGUAACAGCACCGGCAGUUUGCAUUCUGUACAACUUAAACCAUAAUAAUGCUCCCCGCAUCCUUGAUAGGUGUUCACAUCUCUCCCCUCCUCCACUCGCCAUGUUGUCCUUCAUGCUAGGAAAUGAGUAGUAUGUUUAGUUAGCUCAAGUCAGCUCCCCUGCAGGCCAGUUUAUGCUGCAUAAGGAAGGCCUAUGUGGGCUGUGCUUUAAGAAGGGAAUGUUUAAAGUUGAAUAGCAGCCUGAGGGCAGAAGAAGCUGCCUGUGAAUUUUCCCCCUGCUCAUUUUCUAACUAAGAUUACAUGUCAUUCCCCACAAGCUCGGGCCAAGAGGGACACUUGUUUCCAUGAGUCACACACAGCAAAUGUGGGUCGUUUGUGAAGAGAAGCCUGAUGAAAGUGAAGCUUUGCACUACAGGCAGCAACAAGGGAGCUCCUUUAACACUUCUGGGAGGACCUGUUAAUAGGAGGAAGAUGGCCUCUCCACCCUGCAACUGCCAGUGUAGGGCUUCUGAGAACCAUUUUGCCUUGAAGGGAAAGAGAGGAAGAUGGGAAUGACAGCACAGAGAGCUGCCCAUUACCUACUUGCAAAGGUUCCAGGAAUAGCCAACAUGGUGAACUCCAGAUAGUAAACAUGAGAACAACACUGGAACAGGCCAAAGGCGGGAAGAACAGGGCCAUCGCGGCUAGUAUCUGCUGAUAACUUUAUCCUAUUAAUUUAUCUAAUCCUCUCUUAAAGCCAUCCAAGUCGCUGGCCAUCAUUACCUCCUGUGGGAGAAUGGUCAGUGGUCAGGAGUAAUGGGAGCUGAAGUCAAACAACACCAACAUCUGGAAGGCGCCAUCUGGCCACCAUUGCCCUAUGGCAACAAACCACCUGUACGUGACCAUAUAUUUAAUUAUGCAAAAGACAGUCCUCCCAGGAAAAGGGAAUCUAGCAGGCUAAGCUUAACCUAUUUAGCAGCCUCUUUUCACAACCAGAGUUACAGGGUUGCCAGAAUCCUUGAGACGCUAUGCUAUACCCACCCUCUCAGCUGGGAUUUCCAGGUCAAGAGUCUGAUGUGGCUACUCUGAUGAGCUCUUGAAAUAAUGCAGUUUACUCAUUACCUUUCAAAAGCUUGGGUGUCUGUUUUCUACAAACACACUGCUGGCUUGUUGCUUUAUCUGUCACAUUCAUCACACAAUCCCCAUUCAUAUUUCAUGAUUUAUUACCCUACACAGAAGUGCUUUCUGUGUAUGAAACACAGCAUGUGAAGCCAUCUUCAGUUGAAAGUCUGGUCUUGUUUGAACAGAGGUUUUCCUAAGCCCCUAAUAACAUCUUUCCUUACUUUUACUCUUAGUAGAUCUGACAGAUAUUACUUAUAAUUUAUAUUUCCUAAUCUAACAUAUGGUGACACUUUGCUUCCCAAUAGCCGAUUGACAUUUUUUAAUGUUUCUCUUGGACUGUUGCCUAAGUACAUUUGCAAAUAGUUUAGUGCUCAGCUUAAAAUGAAUUCACUCCCAGAAUUCCAUUUGCAAUCUAUUAUUUAUGGCUUACAAAUGUUAAGAUCAAAAAGAAAAUAAUCAAAUGUAUAUUAUAUUGUGGCAUAUGGUCCACUGGGAUUACAAAAUUCUAGAAACUUUAAUGCUAAAUUUGUGUAAAAGGGAGAAUUCCUCCCCUCUUCCCCAAGAUUCCAGAGCUUGAUGCAUUUCCUUAAAGGGGCGGGGGACAUGAAUUUGCUUAUUUUCGUCCACUAGUAAGAAAAAGUAUACUUGACUGCCCUACAUUUAUUUUAUAAAUUCAGAGAAAAUCAGAGCAAAUGCUGUCACCAGCACUGGACAUACCUAUGGAUCAAAUGUAGCCAUCCACUAGCUCUCUUACUAACUGCAUUAUGAAAGAUUCAAAGAGGAGUGUGUAAAUAGCUCUGCAUGAUAUUUAAGGAAAAUUAUGAAUGCAGAGAU